GCGGCGGUGGUGGAAUUGGUAGACACGCUAGCUUGAGGGGCUAGUGGUAGCAAUAUCGUGCUGGUUCAAGUCCAGUUCGCCGCA
rnacentral:tRNA from 1 species